GAAAUGCGAUAAGUAAUGUGAAUUGCAGAAUUCAGUGAAUCAUCGAAUCUUUGAACGCACCUUGCGCUCCUUGGUAUUCCGAGGAGCAUGCCUGUUUGAGUGUCGUGAAAUUAUCAACUCCUAUUCUUUAUUGAAUGGUGAGCUUGGAUUUGGAGAUUGCUGGUGAAAAUCGGCUUCUCUUGAAUGAAUUAGCUGGAAUUUGAUUCGCAGCAUAUAUGCGGUGUGAUAAUGUCGUCACUGUGUAGCUCGGAUUGUCUGGCUUCUAAUCGUCUUUCAUGGACAAUUUGAUCAUUUUGACCUCAAAUCAGGUAGGACUACCCGCUGAACUUAA
rnacentral:misc_RNA from 1 species